GACGAACGCUGGCGGCGUGCUUAACACAUGCAAGUCGAGCGGAGCGGCGAACGGGUGAGUAACGCGUGAGUAACUGCCCCCCUCCCUGGGAUCACUGUUGGAAACGGGUGCUAAUACCGGAUAGUGGGGGAUGACUCGCGUCCUAUCAGCUUGUGGGUGGGGUAGUGGCAUACCAAGGCGACGACGGGUAGCCGGCCUGAUAGGGCGACCGGCCACAUUGGGCUGAGGUACGGCCCCAGCUCCUACGGGGGGCAGCAGGGGGGACUAUUGCACAAUGGGGGAAACCCUGAUGCAGCAACGCGCGUGCGGGAUGGCGGCCUUCGGGUUGUAACCCGCUUUCGGCCAUGACGCGGUAGUGGCAGAAGAAGCACCGGCUAACUACGUGCCAGCAGCCGCGGUAAUAC
rnacentral:rRNA from 1 species